UACGUAGGGUGCGAGCGUUGUCCGGAAUUAUUGGGCGUAAAGAGCUCGUAGGCGGUUUGUCGCGUCUGCUGUGAAAGCCCGGGGCUCAACCCCGGGUCUGCAGUGGGUACGGGCAGACUAGAGUGCAGUAGGGGAGACUGGAAUUCCGUGGUGUAGCGGUGAAAUGCGCAGAUAAUCAGGAGGAACACCGAUGGCGAAGGCAGGUCUCUGGGCUGUAACUGACGUGGAGGAGCGAAAGCAUGGGGAGCGAACAGG
rnacentral:rRNA from 1 species